rnacentral:rRNA from 1 species
GACGAACGCUGGCGGCGCGCCUAACACAUGCAAGUCGAACGAGCGAGGGAGAGCUUGCUUUCUCAAGCGAGUGGCGAACGGGUGAGUAACGCGUGAGGAACCUGCCUCAAAGAGGGGGACAACAGUUGGAAACGACUGCUAAUACCGCAUAAGCCCACGACCCGGCAUCGGGUAGAGGGAAAAGGAGCAAUCCGCUUUGAGAUGGCCUCGCGUCCGAUUAGCUAGUUGGUGAGGUAAUGGCCCACCAAGGCGACGAUCGGUAGCCGGACUGAGAGGUUGAACGGCCACAUUGGGACUGAGACACGGCCCAGACUCCUACGGGAGGCAGCAGUGGGGAAUAUUGCACAAUGGGGGAAACCCUGAUGCAGCGACGCCGCGUGGAGGAAGAAGGUCUUCGGAUUGUAAACUCCUGUUGUUGAGGAAGAUAAUGACGGUACUCAACAAGGAAGUGACGGCUAACUACGUGCCAGCAGCCGCGGUAAAACGUAGGUCACAAGCGUUGUCCGGAAUUACUGGGUGUAAAGGGAGCGCAGGCGGGAAGACAAGUUGGAAGUGAAAUCCAUGGGCUCAACCCAUGAACUGCUUUCAAAACUGUUUUUCUUGAGUAGUGCAGAGGUAGGCGGAAUUCCCGGUGUAGCGGUGGAAUGCGUAGAUAUCGGGAGGAACACCAGUGGCGAAGGCGGCCUACUGGGCACCAACUGACGCUGAGGCUCGAAAGUGUGGGUAGCAAACAGGAGGAGAUACCCUGGUAGUCCACACUGUAAACG